GUUAAAUGGUGUGUUAUUAUAGUGGAGGUCUUGUGUUCAAAUCUCUAUGCAGGCAAGGGUAUUAUUUUUUUCUCAGAUUUCAAGAUAGAGUUGUGUAAUAAGGGAUUCUAAGUAGUGGAUGUGUAGUGGGAAUUAGGGGAGAAGAUUAAGGGAUUUUAGGGGUUAUCGGGAUUUUAUUUUAUUUUUUUCCCAUAAUCAAAUUUUGACUCUCUUUUCCAAAAAAAUUCUUCCGUCUAUUCUUCUUUCUCUCCUCUUGCUAAAAUUCUCUGAGUUUUUCCAUCUUUCUCUUCUUUUUCUUCUUCUUGAUUUUUCCUAAUCAAUUUAUUUUCCUUCGUUUUCGCACGCGGUUAG
rnacentral:lncRNA from 1 species